GUUAAGCGACUAAGCGUACACGGUGGAUGCCCUGGCAGUCAGAGGCGAUGAAGGGCGUGCUAAUCUGCGAUAAGCGCCGGUAAGGUGAUAUGAACCGUUAUAACCGGCGAUACCCGAAUGGGGAAACCCAGUGUGAUUCGUCACACUAUCAUUAACUGAAUCCAUAGGUUAAUGAGGCGAACCGGGGGAACUGAAACAUCUAAGUACCCCGAGGAAAAGAAAUCAACCGAGAUUCCCCCAGUAGCGGCGAGCGAACGGGGAGGAGCCCAGAGCCUGAAUCAGCAUGUGUGUUAGUGGAAGCGUCUGGAAAGGCGCGCGAUACAGGGUGACAGCCCCGUACACAAAAGCGCAUGUGCUGUGAGCUCGAUGAGUAGGGCGGGACACGUGGUAUCCUGUCUGAAUAUGGGGGGACCAUCCUCCAAGGCUAAAUACUCCUGACUGACCGAUAGUGAACCAGUACCGUGAGGGAAAGGCGAAAAGAACCCCGGCGAGGGGAGUGAAAAAGAACCUGAAACCGUGUACGUACAAGCAGUGGGAGCCCCACCACUAAGCCAGUGGUGAACUCCACAUACGCAUCCUUUGCUGAGGAUACGGUUAACGGAGCGAAAGCGACGUUCAACCGCAAAAGAAGCAGAGGGGGCUUAGUGGUGGGGUGACUGCGUACCUUUUGUAUAAUGGGUCAGCGACUUAUAUUCUGUAGCAAGGUUAACCGUAUAGGGGAGCCGCAGGGAAACCGAGUCUUAAUUGGGCGUUAAGUUGCAGGGUAUAGACCCGAAACCCGGUGAUCUAGCCAUGGGCAGGUUGAAGGUUGGGUAACACUAACUGGAGGACCGAACCGACUAAUGUUGAAAAAUUAGCGGAUGACCUGUGGCUGGGGGUGAAAGGCCAAUCAAACCGGGAGAUAGCUGGUUCUCCCCGAAAGCUAUUUAGGUAGCGCCUCGUGAAUUCAUCUCCGGGGGUAGAGCACUGUUUCGGCUAGGGGGCCAUCCCGGCUUACCAACCCGAUGCAAACUGCGAAUACCGGAGAAUGUUAUCACGGGAGACACACGGCGGGUGCUAACGUCCGUCGUGAAGAGGGAAACAACCCAGACCGCCAGCUAAGGUCCCAAAGUCAUGGUUAAGUGGGAAACGAUGUGGGAAGGCCCAGACAGCCAGGAUGUUGGCUUAGAAGCAGCCAUCAUUUAAAGAAAGCGUAAUAGCUCACUGGUCGAGUCGGCCUGCGCGGAAGAUGUAACGGGGCUAAACCAU
rnacentral:rRNA from 1 species